rnacentral:piRNA from 9 species
UAAGAUCAAGUGUAGUAUCUGUUCUUA